UACCACCAUAAGACGAGAAGACCCUGCGGAGCUUUAAAAACACCACUUUUUAAGUUGGGGCGACUACGGAAACAAAAAAAACUUCCACGACCAGGGCUAGCCACCCAAAAAAGAUUGACACACCAACCCCACUGACUAACGAACCAAGUUACCCCAGGGAUAACAGCGCCAUCCUCUUAAAGAGCCCGUAUCGCCAAGAGGGUUUACGACCUCGAUGUUGGAUCAGGGCCCCCCAGUGGCGCAGCCGCUACUAACGGUUCGUUUGUUCAACGACUAACGCCCUACGUGAUCUGAGUUCAGACCGGAGUAAUCCAGGUCGG
rnacentral:rRNA from 1 species